GACGAACGCUGGCGGCGUGCUUAACACAUGCAAGUCGAACGGAAAGGCCCUGCUUUUGUGGGGUUCUCGAGUGGCGAACGCGUGAGUAACACGUGAGUAACCUGCCCUUGACUUUGGGAUAACUUCAGGAAACUGGGGCUAAUACCGGAUAGGAGCUCCUGCUGCAUGGUGGUGGUUGGAAAGUUUCGGCGGUUGGGGAUGGACUCGCGGCUUAUCAGCUUGUUGGUGGGGUAGUGGCUUACCAAGGCUUUGACGGGUAGCCGGCCUGAGAGGGUGACCGGCCACAUUGGGACUGAGAUACGGCCCAGACUCCUACGGGAGGCAGCAGUGGGGAAUAUUGCACAAUGGGCGGAAGCCUGAUGCAGCAACGCCGCGUGCGGGAUGACGGCCUUCGGGUUGUAAACCGCUUUCGCCUGUGACGAAGCGUGAGUGACGGUAAUGGGUAAAGAAGCACCGGCUAACUACGUG
rnacentral:rRNA from 1 species